rnacentral:rRNA from 1 species
CCAAAAGAUCGAAUGAGGAGAUUCAUCGUCAGCUCAUUUUGUAUAUGUAUAAGUUAUGAUGUGNNAGUUACUCUUNNGUAGUAUUGCUNUGUACAUACUUGUGCAUUUAUUUGCAAGAUGUUGCCGGCGUGCACUUCUCCUCUAGUAGGACGUCGCGACCCGUUGGGUGCUGGUCUACGACCCGAGNUGGGAGACUUUAAUAUUNNUUANNUAAUAUUAAAGACCCUUGGUGUUNUUCUGACCGGCUGCCCGGCGGUACUCGUACGGUAUUUAGCCGCAUNUUNANNNUUUGCGUCCAUGUCCAUCGCAAGCGAGGCUAAUUUCUGGUAGUNGCGGACCUAGUGCCGU